rnacentral:rRNA from 1 species
GACAGAGGGUGCAAACGUUGUUCGGAAUUACUGGGCGUAAAGCGUGUGUAGGCGGCCACGUAAGUCGGAUGUGAAAGCCCCGGGCUCAACCCGGGAAGUGCACUCGAUACUGCGUGGCUUGAGUACUGGAGAGGUUGGUGGAAUUCUCGGUGUAGAGGUGAAAUUCGUAGAUAUUCGGAAGAACACCAGUGGCGAAGGCGACUUACUGGACGAUUGUUGACGCUGAGGUGCGAAAGCGUGGGGAGCAAACAGG